GGGGCCGUAGUCUAGCUAGGGAUGACGACGGGCUCCAGACCCGUAGGUCGUCGGUUCAACUCCGGCCGGCCCCACCA
rnacentral:tRNA from 1 species